GAUGAAGAACGUAGCGAAAUGCGAUACGUAAUGUGAAUUGCAGAUUUCAGUGAAUCAUCGAAUCUUUGAACGCACAUUGCGCCCUGUGGUAUUCCGCAGGGCAUGCCUGUUCGAGCGUCAUUGACACCCUCAAGCUCUGCUUGGUCUUGGGCGUUUGUGCCUGCCGUUGCGCAGGGACUCGCCUCAAACUCAUUGGCAGCCUGCCUUUGCCGGUCUUUGCACAGCACAGUCGUGCCAAAGCCGCGGUGAGCAGGCGCUCCACAAGCCCUUUUCAGCUUGACCUCGGAUCAGGUAGGAAUACCCGCUGAACUUAAGCAUAUCAAUAAGCGGAGGA
rnacentral:misc_RNA from 1 species